GUUUGAUCCUGGCUCAGGACGAACGCUGGCGGCGUGCCUAACACAUGCAAGUCGAGCGGAGACAGUGAGUAGCUUGCUACGAACUGUUUUAGCGGCGGACGGGUGAGUAACGCGUGAGCAACCUUUCCCAGACAGGGGAAUAACACACCGAAAGGUGUACUAAUACCGCAUAAGACCACGGAAUCACAUGGUUCUGAGGUAAAAGAUUUAUCGGUUUGGGGUGGGCUCGCGUCCGAUUAGGUAGUUGGUGAGGUAACGGCCCACCAAGCCGACGAUCGGUAGCCGACCUGAGAGGGUGAUCGGCCACAUUGGGACUGAGACACGGCCCAAACUCCUACGGGAGGCAGCAGUGGGGAAUAUUGGGCAAUGGGGGGAACCCUGACCCAGCAACGCCGCGUGGAGGAAGAAGGUUUUCGGAUCGUAAACUCCUGUCCUUGGAGACGAGUAGAAGACGGUAUCCAAGGAGGAAGCCCCGGCUAACUACGUGCCAGCAGCCGCGGUAAUACGUAGGGGGCAAGCGUUGUCCGGAAUAAUUGGGCGUAAAGGGCGCGUAGGCGGCUCGGUAAGUCUGGAGUGAAAGUCCUGCUUUUAAGGUGGGAAUUGCUUUGGAUACUGUCGGGCUUGAGUGCAGGAGAGGUUAGUGGAAUUCCCAGUGUAGCGGUGAAAUGCGUAGAGAUUGGGAGGAACACCAGUGGCGAAGGCGACUAACUGGACUGUAACUGACGCUGAGGCGCGAAAGUGUGGGGAGCAAACAGGAUUAGAUACCCUGGUAGUCCACACUGUAAACGAUGAAUGCUAGGUGUAGGGGGUAUCGACCCCUUCUGUGCCGCAGUCAACACAAUAAGCAUUCCGCCUGGGGAGUACGGCCGCAAGGUUGAAACUCAAAGGAAUUGACGGGGGCCCGCACAAGCAGUGGAGUAUGUGGUUUAAUUCGA
rnacentral:rRNA from 1 species